UACGUAGGGCGCAAGCGUUGUCCGGAAUUAUUGGGCGUAAAGAGCUCGUAGGCGGUUUGUCGCGUCUGCUGUGAAAACCUAAGGCUCAACCUUGGGCUUGCAGUGGGUACGGGCAGACUAGAGUGCGGUAGGGGUGACUGGAAUUCCCGGUGUAGUGGUGGAAUGCGUAGAUAUCGGGAGGAACACCAGUGGCGAAGGCGGUUGCCUGGGGCUUUGCUGACGCUGAUGCGCGAAAGCGUGGGGAGCGAUCCGG
rnacentral:rRNA from 1 species